rnacentral:rRNA from 2 species
GUUGGGUAGGGGAGCGUUCUGUAAGCCUGUGAAGGUGUGUCGUGAGGCAUGCUGGAGGUAUCAGAAGUGCGAAUGCUGACAUAAGUAACGAUAAAGCGGGUGAAAAGCCCGCUCGCCGGAAGACCAAGGGUUCCUGUCCAACGUUAAUCGGGGCAGGGUGAGUCGACCCCUAAGGCGAGGCCGAAAGGCGUAGUCGAUGGGAAACGGGUUAAUAUUCCCGUACUUGGUGUUACUGCGAAGGGGGGACGGAGAAGGCUAUGUUGGCCGGGCGACGGUUGUCCCGGUUUAAGCGUGUAGGUGUGUGUUCCAGGUAAAUCCGGUUCACUUUAACACUGAGGCGUGACGACGAGGCACUACGGUGCUGAAGCAACAAAUGCCCUGCUUCCAGGAAAAGCCUCUAAGCAUCAGGUAACACGAAAUCGUACCCCAAACCGACACAGGUGGUCAGGUAGAGAAUACCAAGGCGCUUGAGAGAACUCGGGUGAAGGAACUAGGCAAAAUGGUGCCGUAACUUCGGGAGAAGGCACGCUGACACGUAGGUGAAGUGAUUUACUCAUGGAGCUGAAGUCAGUCGAAGAUACCAGCUGGCUGCAACUGUUUAUUAAAAACACAGCACUGUGCAAACACGAAAGUGGACGUAUACGGUGUGACGCCUGCCCGGUGCCGGAAGGUUAAUUGAUGGGGUCAGCGUAAGCGAAGCUCCUGAUCGAAGCCCCGGUAAACGGCGGCCGUAACUAUAACGGUCCUAAGGUAGCGAAAUUCCUUGUCGGGUAAGUUCCGACCUGCACGAAUGGCGUAAUGAUGGCCAGGCUGUCUCCACCCGAGACUCAGUGAAAUUGAACUCGCUGUGAAGAUGCAGUGUACCCGCGGCAAGACGGAAAGACCCCGUGAACCUUUACUAUAGCUUGACACUGAACAUUGAGCCUUGAUGUGUAGGAUAGGUGGGAGGCUUUGAAGUGUGGACGCCAGUCUGCAUGGAGCCGACCUUGAAAUACCACCCUUUAAUGUUUGAUGUUCUAACGUGGACCCGUAAUCCGGGUUGCGGACAGUGUCUGGUGGGUAGUUUGACUGGGGCGGUCUCCUCCUAAAGAGUAACGGAGGAGCACGAAGGUUGGCUAAUCCUGGUCGGACAUCAGGAGGUUAGUGCAAUGGCAUAAGCCAGCUUGACUGCGAGCGUGACGGCGCGAGCAGGUGCGAAAGCAGGUCAUAGUGAUCCGGUGGUUCUGAAUGGAAGGGCCAUCGCUCAACGGAUAAAAGGUACUCCGGGGAUAACAGGCUGAUACCGCCCAAGAGUUCAUAUCGACGGCGGUGUUUGGCACCUCGAUGUCGGCUCAUCACAUCCUGGGGCUGAAGUAGGUCCCAAGGGUAUGGCUGUUCGCCAUUUAAAGUGGUACGCGAGCUGGGUUUAGAACGUCGUGAGACAGUUCGGUCCCUAUCUGCCGUGGGCGCUGGAGAACUGAGGGGGGCUGCUCCUAGUACGAGAGGACCGGAGUGGACGCAUCACUGGUGUUCGGGUUGUCAUGCCAAUGGCACUGCCCGGUAGCUAAAUGCGGAAGAGAUAAGUGCUGAAAGCAUCUAAGCACGAAACUUGCCCCGAGAUGAGUUCU